AUGGAAGUUGCUCAGGGGUCAUUAAACGAAGUCAACGACGAUGCACAAUUACUGAAACGUGUUAUAACAGGUGACGAAACAUGGGUUUACGGAUAUGACGUCGAAACUAAGGCUCAAUCGUCCCAGUGGAGACAUUCUGGCUCGCCAAGACCGAAAAAGGCUCGACAAGUGCGGUUGAACGUGAAGGUUAUGCUCACUGUGUUCUUCGAUUUUAAUGGCAUAGUGCAUCAUGAAUUCUUGCUACGAGGUCAAACGAUCAAUAAGGAUCAAAUAAAAAGUAAGAAGGCAUUCCCUUCGUUACACGAUUCUUAGAGCUUACACCUCAGUGUUAUUGUACCUGCUUACAAUGAAGGGCAAAGACUGCCACCAAUGCUCAAUGAAUGUCUGGAGUAUUUGGAAGAAUGCAGCAAGUCUGGAUUAACUUAUGAACUAAUAGUCAGUGAUGGCAGUACAAAUAAAAGAUUUGGCUCAUCGUUACUCGUCAAAAUACAACACUCUCUAAGGCCUGGUUGUUCCACCUUUGUUUACCUAACAGUUAAAUUACCUGAUACUUACCAAAAGGUGGAACAACCAGGCCUAAUAGUACUAAACCUUAAGAAAAAUAAAGGGAAGAGAAAUGCUGUAAGACUGGGUAUGCUGAAUGCAAGAGGCAGCGCCUUAUUAUUUGCAGAUGCAGAUGGUGCUACCAAGUUUAAUGAUGUAAAAAAGUUGGAUGAAAGUCUGAUAAUUGUUCUAGGAUGUAAAUUAAAAAAGAAUAAAGAUUCUGAUAUUAUGUUAGAUUGUACUUAAUUGUUCACGUUUAAUUAAAUAUUUAACGUUUUAUAUUUAAUAA